AGCAGCCGCGGUAAUUCCAGCUCCAAUAGCGUAUAUUAAAGUUGUUGCAGUUAAAAAGCUCGUAGUUGAAUUUCGGGGUCGGUAGGUUGGUCAUGCCUCUGGUAUGCACUGGUCUUACUGAUUCCUCCUUCCUGAUGAGCCGUAAUGCCAUUAAUUUGGUGUUGCGAGGAAUCUGGACUGUUACUUUGAAAAAAUUAGAGUGUUUAAAGCAAGCUAACGCUUGAAUACAUUAGCAUGGAAUAAUGGAAUAGGACGUUCGAUCCUAUUUUGUUGGUUUCUAGGAUUGACGUAAUGAUUAAUAGGGAUAGUUGGGGGCAUUAGUAUUCAAUUGUCAGAGGUGAAAUUCUUGGAUUUAUUGAAGACUAACUACUGCGAAAGCAUUUGCCAAGGAUGUUUUCAUUAAUCAAGAACGAAAGUUAGGGGAUCGAAGACGAUCAGAUACCGUCGUAGUCUUAACCAUAAACUAUGCCGACUAGGGAUCGGAUGAUGUUAAUUUUUUAAUGACUCAUUCGGCGCCUUACG
rnacentral:rRNA from 1 species